rnacentral:rRNA from 1 species
UGGGGAAUUUUGCGCAAUGGGGGAAACCCUGACGCAGCAACGCCGCGUGGGUGAUGAAGGCCUUCGGGUCGUAAAGCCCUGUCGGGAGGGAAGAAAUGAUUGAGAGCUAAUACCUCUUGGUCUUGACGGUACCUCCGAAGGAAGCACCGGCUAACUCCGUGCCAGCAGCCGCGGUAAUACGGAGGGUGCAAGCGUUGUUCGGAAUUAUUGGGCGUAAAGCGCGUGUAGGCGGUCUUUUAAGUCUGAUGUGAAAGCCCCGGGCUCAACCUGGGAAGUGCAUUGGAAACUGGGAGACUUGAGUACGGGAGAGGAGAGUGGAAUUCCUAGUGUAGGAGUGAAAUCCGUAGAUAUUAGGAGGAACACCGGUGGCGAAGGCGGCUCUCUGGACCGAUACUGACGCUGAGACGCGAAAGCGUGGGUAGCAAACAGGAUUAGAUACCCUGGUAGUCCACGCCGUAAACGAUGAGUACUAGGUGUUGCGGGUAUUGACCCCUGCAGUGCCGUAGCUAACGCAUUAAGUACU